rnacentral:rRNA from 1 species
GCAGCCGCGGUAAUACGGAGGAUCCGAGCGUUAUCCGGAUUUAUUGGGUUUAAAGGGUGCGUAGGCGGCCCUGUAAGUUAGAGGUGAAAAGCGCGAGCUCAACUUGCGUCGUGCCUCUAAUACUGUAGGGCUUGAGAUUAGUUGCAGAAGGCGGAAUGUGUAGUGUAGCGGUGAAAUGCUUAGAUAUUACACAGAACACCGAUUGCGAAGGCAGCUUUCUAAGCUAUAUCUGACGCUGAUGCACGAAAGCGUGGGGAGCGAACAGGAUUAGAUACCCC